ACGCUGGCGGCAUGCCUAACACAUGCAAGUCGAACGAACAUCUUCGGAUGUUAGUGGCGCACGGGUGAGUAACGCGUGGGAACCAGCCUUAUGGUACGGGAUAACGUCGGGAAACUGACGCUAAUACCGUAUAUGUCUUCGGAUGAAAGAUUUAUCGCCAUAAGAGGGGCCCGCGUCUGAUUAGCUAGUUGGUGAGGUAAUGGCUCACCAAGGCGACGAUCCGUAACUGGUCUGAGAGGAUGAUCAGUCACACUGGAACUGAGACACGGUCCAGACUCCUACGGGAGGCAGCAGGUGGGGAAUUAUUGGACAAUGGGGGGAACCCUGAUCCAGCAAUGCCGCGUGUGUGAAGAAGGCCUGAGGGUUGUAAAGCACUUUCAGUGGGGAGGAGGGUUGAUAGGUUAAGAGCUAAUUAACUGGACGUUACCUACAGAAGAAGCACCGGCUAACUCCGUG
rnacentral:rRNA from 1 species